UACGUAGGGUCCGAGCGUUGUCCGGAAUUAUUGGGCGUAAAGGGCUCGUAGGCGGUCUGUUGCGUCGGGAGUGAAAACUUACAGCUUAACUGUGAGCGUGCUUCCGAUACAGGCAGACUUGAGGUAUUCAGGGGAGAACGGAAUUCCUGGUGUAGCGGUGGAAUGCGCAGAUAUCAGGAGGAACACCGGUGGCGAAGGCGGGUCUCUGGGCAGUAACUGACGCUGAGGAGCGAAAGCGUGGGGAGCGAACAGG
rnacentral:rRNA from 1 species